CCUACGGGAGGCAGCAGUAGGGAAUCUUCCGCAAUGGACGCAAGUCUGACGGAGCAACGCCGCGUGAGUGACGAAGGUUUUCGGAUUGUAAAGCACUUUAAGUUGGGAGGAAGGGCAGUAAGUUAAUACCUUGCUGUUUUGACGUUACCGACAGAAUAAGCACCGGCUAACUUCGUGCCAGCAGCCGCGGUAAU
rnacentral:rRNA from 1 species